UGUGCCUGCUAUCUGCAGGUCUUUUCCUGUGUUUGCAAAACCAUGUGAAUGCCGAACAACGUUUGAGCAGGAGUGUCAUUGAAAAUGCUGUGCUUGAAGCCAAGGCAACAGUGGAUUCAACUUAUGAGUACUCCAGAAGAGUGAGCCUUGAUCUGUGAGGAGGAAUACAGCGAAUCCUUCAGACAUCCUGAGGC